CUGAACUUCUAGGGUUGGUGGAGUCAGGUUGCUCUUUAUCUUGGGUUUGUGAUUUUCCUGAUGGAAAAUGGUUACCAAGAAAGGUAACCAUUUAUGGCAAGACUUAAGAAGGUCCCUCUCACAGUGGGCUUCCCAACAGGUAGAGGGAAAUGAAAAAUCCGUGAAAGCAUCCCACUGGUGAAAGUGCUAGCCACAGGGCACCUGCCACACGGAAUUCACCUACAUCUGAUUAGAAUUCGGCCAGUCAGUUAAGAGGUGAAUCACUUCAAAGAGAAGGACCAGAUUCUCAUGGACCCCACUGCCAUGCUGGCCAGACAUCUUGCUGCCAUUGUUUUCCUGUUAUUUACUCCCAAACAGAUGGUCUAUAAUGAAGAACUGACUUUUCUUUGUUCUCAAGCAAAGGACCUUUGGUCAAUCCACUCCUGGAAAUUACCUUCAGCUCUCUUUGAAAAUGGCUUCACUGUCUUCAUUUAUAAGUAAGUUUUGGUUUGUUGCACAUACAGUGUAGUCCUAGC
rnacentral:lncRNA from 1 species